rnacentral:sRNA from 1 species
UUAUAGGUUCGUUGGCCUCACGGCGGG